rnacentral:rRNA from 1 species
UACAUGGGGUGCAAACGUUGCCCGGAAUUAUUGGGCGUAAAGCGCACGUAGGUGGUCUGUUAUGUCAGAUGUGAAAGCCCUCGGCUUAACUGAGGAAGUGCACCUGAAACUGGCAGGCUUGAGUACGAAAGAGGGUCGCGGAAUUCCCGGUGUAGAGGUGAAAUUCGUAGAUAUCGGGAGGAACACCGGUGGCGAAGGCGGCGACCUGGUUCGAUACUGACACUGAGGUGCGAAAGCGUGGGGAGCAAACAGG